GAGCCGUGUCACAUCGAGCCACUGUCACUUGGAUGGCGUUUGAGGAAAUGUUGGAUUGUUUGCAGUGAUUAUUAAAUUAGCUGCAUGCAUUGGUCAUACUUUGAUGGCAUUGAAGAAUUGUGCAAACAAAGAGGGGAAAGUGGCUGCGAGCAUCUACGCAAAAUAAAAUGCCUUGUACUGAAAACAAGUCUUGUACGAAGAACCGAGCUUGCUGCAAAAAAAAUGAUGACGAGUGAAGAAACUGAAAAAAAACUUAGGAGACUUGGGAGACGGCUCAAUACUUGGCUGCUUUGAAUGCUGAUUGAUGCAGGUGUUGUACAAAAUGAAGAACUUUCACUGGACUUGGUUGCUGACGAUGCCUUUCCAUAAGACGAUGAAUUCUGGCCCACACUUGACUUUGUUUGAUGACUUGGAUGCUGAUGAUGCUUUUCCACAAAUGAUGAAGACUUUCUGGACUUGGAUGAUGCCUUUGGUGAUGACUACUCGGUGUACUUGCUUUAAUCGACCUGAUUAAAAUACUUGGACACUUUGGAUGGUCUCCCAGACUUUGAUGCCGAUGAUGUCUUCUACAAAAUGAUCCAGACUUGCCAAUUCAGGCUUCGCUAACUGAUUGCUGCGUUUUUUCCAACCGACCUGAUUAAAUAUUGAUGGAUUGAAGACUUGGAUACUUGCAUCGUCUUCCAGACUUUGCUGUCAAUGAUGUUCUUCCACAAAUGCAAGAUUUUCAAGACUUGGCAAAUCAAGCUUUGCUGACUAUUUGGUGCGUUCGAAAUUGUAAGUUCUUAAAUUUAAGACUUAGAAUUUCGAACGCAGCAAAUAGUCAGCAAAGCAGGAUUUGAUAAGUCUGUAUUGCAUUUGUGGAAGAAGAACAUUAUCGACAGCAAAAUUUCAAAGUGUGGCAAAUGAAGACUUAGCAGACUGCACUCGCUUCAAUUGACCUGAUCGAUCAUUAUGUUCCUGCAGACUUUGAUGCCGAUGAUGUCUCCGACAAAUGAUCCAGACUUACCAAAUGAAUCUAGGCUGACUAGUUCGUGGCUUUUGCUGCAAUCAACCUGAUAAAAAAUAAAACUUUCAUGUUUAUUUGUUAGUUUGUUUAUGUGUUUGUUCACAGAUCGAUCGAUUGAUUGAUGAUGGA